rnacentral:snoRNA from 10 species
AGCACUAUAUUUAAACCAAUGGAUGGGACUCUUCCCCAUUCUUGGUUACGCUGUAGUGCAAAAGAAUUCCUGGCUCUUCAUGCACAGCUGACUUUCUGCCAUUCUGCUGUUGCAAUAUUGAGUUAAGGAACAUGU